CUGGGACAGACAAAAAAAACUGGGACAGACGCACCGAGCCCCUACUCGCCCUCUACCUCGGCCGCUCGGCUCCUGAUCUCGCCGGCUCGCCGCUUACCUCGCCGGACGCCAUCGCCCGUCGCUGCCUGCCUCGCCGUCGCUAGACGCCAAGGAGGCGCCCCUUCCCGGAGCUCGGCGCUACCGCGCCCCCUUGGCGCCCCUGCAAACCGGCGCCUGCCGCCCAGUCCGCUGUCCGCCGAUUCCGGCACUCGGCCGGCUGCAAGCCAGCAACCCUGCCCAGUGGCCAGCCUUUAGCCCGAUUUGAGGACUUGAGGCAAGUUUUCCAUUGCGCCACUUCCCAUUCCCCAAUUUCUGAUUUAGGGUUUGCUCUUUGCUGUCUAUUGCAUUGGAAAGUGCCUCAAAUUCCCCAAUUUCCUCGUGCCUUCGCCCACCGAGUGGUCAACCAGCCAAAGACCAUGUGGCGCCGAGCCGGACCGAUCUGCCUCCACCUCGCCGGAAUCGCCGGCCGCCGCAUCCGACGACCCCCACAGCCUCCUGCUCCCACAGCCACCUGCUCUAGCUCCGCCUUCGCUUCAUCCUCUUUCCACCACAAUCUUGGAACCUUUCGGGAUUCCAUCGGAGUUCCUCCCUCUCGAAGCCUAUCGAACCAGGCAGGAGGUGAUGGCGGCAUUGGCGGCGAGUGCUGGAGUUGUGGCGCCAAGGGGGCAUUCCUCUCCUGCGGGUCCUGCAGGAGUGUGCAGCCCGUUGAUCCUGCGGUCGACUACUUCCGAAUAUUUGGCCUGGACAGAGGAUAUGACGUAAAGGAUACCAACUUAGAAGGAAAGUACAAAGACUGGCAGAAGAAGUUACAUCCUGACCUUGUUCAUUCUAAAUCAGAGAAAGAGAGAGAUUUUGCGGCCGGGCAGUCAGCACUUGUCAUUGAGGCAUAUCGCACACUGAGCAAACCUUUACCAAGGGCAUUGUACUUGCUGCAACUUGAGGGGAUACACGUUGAUGAGGAGAAGACUAUCAAUGAUCCAGAACUUCUUAUGGAGAUGAUGGAGAUACGCGAAGCAGUUAGCGAAGCCGGUGAUUCGCAAACUCUGAAGAAGAUCCAAUCUCAGAUGAAGAGUAAGCUCGAAACCUGGGCCAAAUCCUUCCAGGAAGCGUUCAACAAGAGGGACUUCGACGGCGCCGUGGAAGCUACACAGAGGAUGAGAUACUAUGAACGUGCUAUGGAAGAAACUGUGAAGAAGCUUUGAUCUUGGCCCCGACUGGGAGCCAUGUAGAUUGUUACGCCUUCAAGAAAACUAGACAGGGUCCACGGCGCCGGGAGUCUGGUGGCUGACAUGCGCUUGUAAGCUGGUUGCAGGUCUGUUGAGGCAUCCUGAGAGGCAGAGUCCGUACUACGUAGUUUGACUGAAUAAAGUGACUCUGUUUUUAUACGUUGUUUUCCUUGCGUUACCUGUGUUGUAUCCUGGUUGGCUGGUGUGGCCGUGGGAAAAUUGUACUGCAGACAAAAUACUGUGCUGGUUGCUUUUCGUGCGCGUACCGAGG
rnacentral:rRNA from 1 species